rnacentral:rRNA from 1 species
GUCGCUACUACCGAUUGAAUGGUUAUAGUGAGCAUAUGGGAUCAGUAGAAUUAGACUGGCAACAGUCUUUCUCUGCAGAGAACUAUGGCAAACUAGGCUAUUUAGAGGAAGUAAAAGUCGUAACAAGGUUUCC